CCUACGGGGUGCACCAGUGGGGAAUUUUCCGCAAUGGGCGAAAGCCUGACGGAGCAAUGCCGCGUGGAAGUAGAAGGCCCACGGGUCGUGAACUUCUUUUCCCGGAGAAGAAGCAAUGACGGUAACCGGAGAAGAAGCCCCGGCUAACUUCGUGCCAGCAGCCGCGGUAAUACGAAGGGGGCUAGCGUUGUUCGGAAUUACUGGGCGUAAAGCGCGCGUAGGCGGAUAGAUAAGUCAGAGGUGAAAUCCCGGGGCUCAACCCCGGAAUUGCCUUUGAUACUGUUUAUCUUGAGUGCAGAAGAGGUAAGUGGAAUUCCGAGUGUAGAGGUGAAAUUCGUAGAUAUUCGGAGGAACACCAGUGGCGAAGGCGGCUUACUGGUCUGCAACUGACGCUGAGGCGCGAAAGCGUGGGGAGCAAACAGGAUUAGAUACCCUCGUAGUC
rnacentral:rRNA from 1 species